UCACUUACCAACACUUAUCAUUCUUCGCCUUGUGUGCAUUUAAACUACUGGACGGAGAACUGAUAAGGGCUGGUUUGUCG